UUGAAACAACAAUAUCAGUGCUUAAGAAAUAAAUCGAUAAAUAAUUACAAAAUGUAUUUUACAAAAGUGUUUUUCAUGUUGGUUAUUGCCAUUACUUUGUAUCUGAACUUCUCGGAGGCUGGUCAACAAAUCGGUAAAACAGUGGGCACCGCUAUAAAACAAGGCGCUAAGAAAUUGCCUCCUGUUGCUGUUGGUGGCUAUGCUGCCAAUUCAACAGUGAACGUCAAUGUUAAUACUAAGCCCCAAAGCAGACCCGGCUCUCCCAGCGGCAAUAAACCGAAAAAAAAUUAAGAGUUGGGAAAAUGUGAAAACAAGGCGCAUUAAUUAAGCCCCAGUUUUCUCACAAUAUCGUAAACAAUUUAUGUCUGAUUUCAUUAAAAUGUUUGCUGAUGUUUAACAAAUAAAUUAACAAAAUUUCAUAUGAAAA